UGUGAAUUCUUUGGUACUACCUGCUUAAUUUUACCAAAAGAACUAAUUUUUUUGUUUAAUUCUGUGGUCCAUGCCUAUUCUGAUCCAGAGGUCAGCUUUCUGGAGUGAGAGUGUUGGAUCGAUUCAGCCGAACGCAAGGCAAGGUAACAAGGUGUUCGUUAUUUUCUGUGUGUAAAUAUGCUCUACCCCCAUGAUUCAAGCAUGUGUCGUUGAAUAUCUCUGCAGUUGCAUCUCCUCAUGUGAUGAAUGAAUUCUUUAUAUUUCUUACGUGGUUUGUUGUAACUGCGAUAUGGCGUUAAUUUGUUGGGUGUUGUAUGAAUUGGAUGUUGAGCCGUAUAUCAAUGUGUUGAUGUGUUCAUUGUGUGGUAUACUUGGCAGCAGUUGUUAUAGCAUUUUGUUGAGAAGCAGCCAUGGCGAUGACUAGGCGACAGAGGGCAUAUACUGUGUUGGUGCUUGAGGAAAUAAUUCGUGUAUUAAAUCUUCAGCUUAUUAUUAUAAUUGAUUUGCUAAACAGGAUGAAAACAAAGAAGAGGAAACAUACUGAGAUUGUUGAGUCAUAUUGUAUAAUUGAACGCAUGCCUAGUCAAGCCAUACAUUUGGACAGGAUAAUAGGGAGUAGUGAUAUUGAUUGUGUCUCGAACUUGCGAAUGGACCGUAACACAUUCAGUAGGCUGUGUCAAUUGUUACGCCAAUUAGGAGGUUUGCGUAACGGUCGCCACGUAACCGUGGAAGAGCAGGUUGCAAUGUUUGUCUCAGUACUAGCACACCAUAAGAAGAAUAGGAUCAUUGGUUUUGAUUUUUGGAGGUCCGGGCAGACAAUCUCACGGUAUGUCCACCUGGUUUUGAAAGCAAUAUUGAGAUUGCAUGUUAUCUUGUUGGUAACCCCAGAGCCUAUUCCCGAUGUUUCGGUCGAUCACAGGUGGAAGUGGUUUAAGGUAAAAUCAUGUGUAUAACAAGUACUCUACUUAUGUGUCGUCAUCUUCUCAUGUGGGCUUGUUUAAAUUUGCAAUAGGGUUGUUUAGGUGCUCUAGAUGGAACAUACAUUAAUGUUAUGGUACCAAACGCCGAUAAGCCACGUUAUAGGACGAGAAAGGGUCAAAUAUCCACCAAUACCCUUGCUGCGUGUGAUCGAAAUUUGAAGUUUACUUAUGUGCUGCCUGGGUGGGAAGGUUCAGCUGCUGACUCACGGAUUUUGCGCGACGCCGUGAACAGAGUUCACGGUUUGAAGGUUCCUAAGGGUACAUACCAUCUUUGAUUGCUUUCCCAAUAUUUAUGUGUGUUUUUUUUGUAUGUUACAGUCGAGGUAUUUGAUUAAUGGAUUCGUUUGUCUACUAGGGAAUUACUAUUUGGUUGACAAUGGAUAUCCGAAUUGCGAGGGUUUUUUAUCACCAUAUAAGGGAGUGAGGUACCACUUGAAAGAAUGGGGACCAGGAGCUACCAGACCACAGAACGCGGAAGAGUUGUUUAACAUGCGGCACACGAAAGCAAGGAAUUGCAUCGAACGUGCAUUUGGCAUCAUGAAGAUGCGGUGGGGCAUACUUCGGAGCACAACGUAUUAUCCAGUGAAGGUCCAGAACAGAUUAAUCAUGGCCUGCUUCUUGCUAAACAAUUUCAUCCGCUCUCAAAUGGUUAAUGAUCCUCUAGAGCAGCAAUUUGAUGAUAUUGCCAAUAUGGAAGCUGAAGCAGGGCCUGAUGUCGAUGAAUUCGUUGAUUCCGUUGAGGUUUCAAGGGAAUGGAAUGCAAGUAGGGAUGCAAUUGCUCAAGGGAUGUGGCAGCAGUUCUUGUUGGGUCCUUAGAUUGUUGUAGCAGUUUGUUGGACUUGAAAAUCUGUAAAUUGAGUGAUGUGUGAGUUAAUUUGACAAUAGUCUAUCAGCUUUCCACGGGUGCAUUUGUUGUUGGAUACUUGGUUAUUUGCUGCUAUUUUAGUUGAAAUCUUGAUUGGAUAUUAGCUCUAUUUUGUUGCCAUUUGGUGUUACUUGUGUUGAAUAAUCUUUUCAUUUUAUUUGGUUUGAUUCCUGCUUUUCAAAACUCCUUAUCUUCUUGCAGCUGUGUUGGAACCAUGGAAGUCUGUGAAGAUGAUGCCAAGUUGAUCCCAAUGUGUCAAUGUGGAAGAGGCCGAAUGAACCUCUUUAAGGCUUCACAACAAGCAAUAAACGCAGGUCGUUUCUACUACAAAUGUCCGGAAGCAG
rnacentral:lncRNA from 1 species